CGCCAGACCGAUAAAGGCCGCAACCAGGAUGAAUUCGAUGGUCAGACCGUGGUUGAGUUUGCCAAUCAUGCUGGCGCUGUUGCGCGCGGCGAUGGCGGACAGGCCGGUCACCGCAAUAUUGUAGCCUGGAUGCGCCUGACGGACCGUCCCCAUCGCUGCAUCGAGCUUCUCGACCGUCGGCAGGAUCUGGCUGGGGGCGANNNNNCGACACCACGACCGCGUCCUGCUGCUCGGAAAUAAAGCGCCUGACCAGAUAGGCCGGCAGC
rnacentral:misc_RNA from 1 species